UACGUAGGGUGCAAGCGUUAUCCGGAUUCACUGGGUUUAAAGGGCGCGUAGGUGGGUUGAUAAGUCAGUGGUGAAAUCCCCGAGCUUAACUUGGGAACUGCCAUUGAUACUAUUGAUCUUGAAUACCGUGGAGGUCAGCGGAAUAUGUCAUGUAGCGGUGAAAUGCUUAGAGAUUACAUGGAAUACCAAUUGCGAAGGCAGGUUACUACUAGUGGAUUGACGCUGAUGGACGAAAGCGUGGGUAGCGAACAGG
rnacentral:rRNA from 1 species